GUGAUGUAAACGUAAACAUUAUUGGUGUAAACAUUCGUGUUGCAAACUAUAAUAAUGUAAUCAUUUCAUAAAAAAAACAUAAAUUACAGGAGGACGAGCUCUUGUUGGUAUACUUAGAUUCGGCCAACCUGUGCAUGGAUGCAUCGCCAUCACCCAGUUGCGCCACCUGCAAAGCACCAAACACCAUAAAACAGACCGCCCAGGUCCAAAAUACUACAUGUCAUAUUAUAAGCACUGAUGAACGUUAGAUUUAUAUUAGUUAAAUGAUUUUAGUUUUAUAAAAAAGGACAUGCACUAAAUUAUUUUGCAUGAAUUAAGAAAUUUAUUGUAGUUAAUUGGCAAUUUUAGCACCUAGGAUGGAUGUAAAAAAAAAAAUAUUUCUAAUUUCAUUAAUAAUCACUGUUUAUAAUAGAAAUGUCAAUAUUUCUCAGUUUUCGCAGGCAUUUAUUUUUGAUAUGUGAUUUUAUUAAUUAGUAUCAGUAUAUUAUUAUAAAAUAUGUUAUUACCUGAUUAGAAGACGAAUUGUAUUAUUUUCGUUACAUAUCAACACAAUUACAAAAUCCAACAUUUGAUUAAUAAUUUGUAACUUCCAAUCCCUGAAUUUACAUUUAAAACAUUUUUCAUUUCCUUUCAAUACUAGAGGACAUGAAAUAUGUUUAAGUGUUAUGAAAUAGCCAGUGUUUUUUUAUUUACAUUAAAAAAACAAUAUCGGUUAUUCGGAUUUUCUACAAAAAUUGUAUCUGAAAAGUAAAAACAAAUAUUUGCAACAAAUUAAAGCCUUCAGUAAAGGUUUUAAAUAUACAGGGUGUUUUUGAAAAAGGUACCACAAAUUCAAAAGCCGAUAGAACAUCAAGAAAUAAGAUUUUUUAUGGACCAUAAGCUUAACUUUUGUUUUUGAAAAAAUUUCUGUUUACAUAGAAAAGGUACUUUUUGUUGAAAUCGCUGAAAAUACAUUUUUUCAGAAAAAAAAUCCAAUUCAUUGUUUCAAAGUCCAAAGCUUCUACUCCGUAAUAUACAAAGAGUUGAAAUGAAUGGACCACACUUCAAAAGUAGCUUCCUUAGAUGAAAAUAAACCAAUUUAGAUCAGGUUACCUUUGCAUAAUUUUAUUUCUUUAAAAAGUUAUGUUAGUAAGUAUUAAUAAGAAAUAAACAAUAUUUUGAAGCUGGCAACUUUUGAAGCAAGGAAAGUUAGAAUUAAGGUAACUUAAAUGUAACUUAAUUUAAAUCAGUUUAUUUCUACCCUAGAAAGCUAACCUUGAAGUACGUCUCUGACGACCCUGUAUAUUAAGGAAUAGAAACUGGUUCUUUGAGAAACAUCCAUUUUCAACUAUUUCAACUAGAGUACUGUUUUGAUGUAAAAUGAAAUUAUAUAUUAUGACAUACGAUUUAGUAGAAAACCUAAUGUCAAAAAAGUUUUCAUGAAAUGUCACUGGAUAAACUGACUAUAAUGACAUAUUUAGCAACCUUAAAAACUUAUCUGUAUCAAUUUCAAUGCAUUAUAUUGUUUUUUGUCUGGCUUAAAUUUAAUUAUAAAAAAUAAUUUUUAAAUAUCAAAAGCUAAAGACGAUGGACCUGUGGUUCAUAGCAGAAAUUCUUAUUUUUUGAGGUCCUAUCGGUCUCUGAAUUUGUGGCACCUUUUCCCUAAACAGUCCGUAUAUAAAAUAUUACAUACGUCUUUUUGAUAUAAAACACAAUUUUAAGCUUUUAUGAUGAACUGGAGGGUAUUAAUUUACACUGACAUUUUUUAUAAUCGGUAAAUUUCAGUACAGUGCUACUCACAUAACAAUCUACCCGCUAUAUCUUUUUUACUUUUCUAUAUAGUAAAAGUGGUAAAGACUACAGCUUUAGGAAAUUUUCUGUAAUUUCGAAGAAUUAUAUGGGGUGUCCCAGACCAUCCGUCCACCCCUUCUAAAAUCCAAAGUACAUGAUUAUGUGGAAAAUGGUUCAGAUGAAAGUUACUGGUUUUCAAAUGGCACAUAUUAAAAAAAAAAAAAAAAGACUUUCAAGGUCAACUUAGUUUUUUUUAAAUGGAAAUCCUUAUUUUCAAUCCUGGAUUCAGAAAGAGCGGAAAAUUCUACGUUCAGAUGAUGUAUCAUGUGUAGGGUCCAUUUAACCCCCCAAGGUCACAUGAAGGUCAAUUUUGUUUAUGGUUUCUUUUUGUAUCUAGGUACUAUUUCAAUGGUAUUACAUAAAAAACAGGUUUGCUUUAUUAACAUUGAAAUAACUUAAUGUUAUUAUGUCAUUAUGUUGUUACACAUUAAUUGUAAUUGAAAAAAAAAUUGACCACGUGACCUUGGGGGGUCAAAUGGACCCCACACAUGAAACAUCAUCUGAACGUAGAAUUUUCCGCUCUUUCCAAAUCCAGGGUUGAAAAUAAGGGUUUUCAAUUAAAAAAACUAAGUUGGCCUUGAAAAUGACCUUCAAGGUCACGAUAAUAUAUGCCUCAUAGAUGCCAGUAACUUUCAUCAUCUGAACCAUUUUCACAUAACCACGUACUUUGGAUUUUAGAAGAGGUGGACGGGUGGUCUGGGACACCCAGUAUAAAAAAAGAAUUGACUGUUGCAUUUCGAUGAUAUAAACUAAUUUUUUUUUUGCUUUAAUAAAAUACCCUGUAUGUUUGUCACUUUUUUAGAUCAUUUCCGUUUUCAAAUUACAGUGAUAAAUGUAUUACAUAUAUUUGCACAUUAUUUUGGUUUAUUUACUGAUGUCAUGGAACUAGUACAUAUUUAAGCUUUUCUAUUGCUAAAUUUACUAAAUAGAUUUUUAAGUAUUUGAUUAUGAAAAAAAAAGUGAUGAACGAUAAAGUAAACAAAAAAAGACAUAAUUUAUAUGAUUUAAGGGAGAAAAUAUUGAAGAAAGUUAGUAUUAUUAAUGAGGUAAUAUUAUAUAAAAUGCUUAGAAUAAGUGAAUCCUCUAAAAUCAAAAUCCAACAAAUCCACUUUUUACCAAAAUUUUACUGUAUUCUAAUAUCAUUAGUCAGUAAUUUGCAAGUCUGUCUUGUCAGUAACAUACUGAAACAGUUUUUCUCCAUUUUCCCACAAAUAACAGAUUAACGGAUUUGUCAGAUUCUGAUUUUAUAGGAUUCAAGUAUCCUUUCUCUAGAAAUAAGAUAUAUUUUCUUAAUAGUGACUUUGAAUGUACAAUUUUUUCCUAGCUACAAAGAUAAAGCAGCUAGAAUGUUAUGUGAAUAACCCUGUAUAUAGAUCAAAAUACAGAGUAAAUUAUAUAUAAAUCCUUGUUAGGCAUUUAGUAAGUAGAUGUUUUAAAAAGCGUAAGUAAAUAACUAUUAAGAGUAGCUUUGCUGAUGUAAAUACCUGAAGAAAAUGUACUGUAUUACGAUCAAGAAAAUAUGGAGGAGCCUCAAAUUUAUUUCAAGUACAUGUAAAUAAUGAAAAUAUACAGUAUUCAUUUUGAUUUUUUUCUAA